AUUGAACGCUGGCGGCAUGCCUUACACAUGCAAGUCGAACGGCAGCACGGGAGCAAUCCUGGUGGCGAGUGGCGAACGGGUGAGUAAUAUAUCGGAUCGUGCCCAGUCGUGGGGGAUAACGCAGGGAAAGCUGUGCUAAUACCGCAUACGAUAUAAGGAUGAAAGCGGGGGAUCGCAAGACCUCGCGCGAAUGGUGCGGCAGAUAUCAGAUUAGCUAGUUGGGGGGGUAAAGGCCCACCAAGGCGACGAUCUGUAGGAGGUCUGAGAGGACGACCAGCAACAGUGGAAAUGAGACACGGUCCAGACUCCGGCGGGAGGCAGCAGUGGGAAAUUUUGGACAAUGGGCGCAAGGCUGAUCCAGCAAUGCCGCGUGCAGGAGGAAGACCUUCGGGUUGUAAACUGCUUUUGUACGGAACGAAACGGCCCUUUCUAAUACAGGGGGCUAAUGACGGUACCGUAAGAAUAAGCACCGGCUAACUACGUGCCAGCCGCCGCAGUAA
rnacentral:rRNA from 1 species